GUUCCUUGCACCAAACUUACCUUUUUUAACUCGAAUUUGCUUUCACAUGCUAAUUUCGCCAUCUAGGUGUCCAACUCUCCUGUAAGCAUAACUCAAGUAAGCAUUGCUCACACAUCUCAUGUAGACUAUGGAUAUUACAUGUGGCUAAAUCGGCCGGGUGGGUGAGUCCGGUAAUGGACUAACAGGCACUGCAAUUGGUAGGCAACAAAGCUCAUUCUAGAUUCAGGAUAUGUCGUAACUCUUCAUUCCGACCCAUGUAUGAAUUUCCAUCUAAGCAUAUAAUUCCAAUAGGGAAGUUUAAGUGUUUUCCCUUGAUGACCUUCUGGUCACACCCAUAUCUUCUCUGAAUGUUGUUGAAUGUUCCCAUUUUUGUGAUAGGGGUGCGGCGUGUAGUGGCAGUUGAAACUAGCUCUCAACGUGUGUUAAGGUUAAUCACAUUAAGGGCUCUUUUUUACAAAAUUCUGUUAAACUUGCUUUUGUGUUCUAAGUUUUUAGCAAAGUUAUGUCAUUAUAUGUUAAGUUUGUAUUUCAAGGACAAUGGAUUAUAAUUACAUUUAGUUAUGUUAAAAGGUUAUGGUAAUUAAUAUAUUCUUGAUAA